rnacentral:misc_RNA from 1 species
UGGCUUUCGCCGAUGAGAGCUUGGAUUCCCUUGACGACUCUUUUCCUCUCGGAGUUGAAGGUUGGAAUGCGCUGUUCGCGGUGGUUGUUGAUGGUGGUUAGUUUUGGGGAUGAAUCUGUGGUGCCUUGGAAAUGGCCAUCUGCAAAGGAGAGGAAGAUGCGGCCAGUUUCAUCAUUUGAUGUUUGCCAGAAUAUAGCAUAGGUCCACCAGUCAGGCUGGCUUUGGAGCAAGAAUUGGAGCUUCUGUUGGAGAGUGGGUGGGAUUUCUUGGGAUGAAGGGACUAGAGAAGAAGAUGAAGAUGGAGAUAUGAUAAGUUCCUCCAUGGCUUCUGAAUUCUGAUUGUGAAUCAGGGCAAGCAAGCG